rnacentral:rRNA from 1 species
GACGAACGCUGGCGGCGUGCCUAAUACAUGCAAGUAGAACGCACAGUUUAUACCGUAGCUUGCUACACCAUAGACUGUGAGUUGCGAACGGGUGAGUAACGCGUAGGUAACCUGCCUGGUAGCGGGGGAUAACUAUUGGAAACGAUAGCUAAUACCGCAUAAUAUUGAUUAUUGCAUGAUAAUUGAUUGAAAGAUGCUAUUGCAUCACUACCAGAUGGACCUGCGUUGUACUAGCUAGUAGGUGAGGUAACGGCUCACCUAGGCGACGAUACAUAGCCGACCUGAGAGGGUGAUCGGCCACACUGGGACUGAGACACGGCCCAGACUCCUACGGGAGGCAGCAGUAGGGAAUCUUCGGCAAUGGACGAAAGUCUGACCGAGCAACGCCGCGUGAGUGAAGAAGGUUGUCGGAUCGUAAAGCUCUGUUGUAAGAGAAGAACGGGUGUGAGAGUGGAAAGUUCACACUGUGACGGUAGCUUACCAGAAAGGGACGGCUAACUACGUG